rnacentral:rRNA from 1 species
GACGAACGCUGGCGGCGUGCCUAAUACAUGCAAGUCGAGCGCAGGAAAUCGACGGAACCCUUCGGGGGGAGGUCGGCGGAAUGAGCGGCGGACGGGUGAGUAACACGUAAAGAACCUGCCCUCAGGUCUGGGAUAACCACGAGAAAUCGGGGCUAAUACCGGAUGGGUCAUCGGACCGCAUGGUCCGAGGAUGAAAGGCGCUUCGGCGUCGCCUGGGGAUGGCUUUGCGGUGCAUUAGCUAGUUGGUGGGGUAAUGGCCCACCAAGGCGACGAGGCAUGGCCGACCUGAGAGGGUGAUCGGCCACCCUGGGACGGAGACACGGCCCAGACUCCUACGGGAGGCAGCAGUAGGGAAUCUUCCACAAUGGACGAAAGUCUGAUGGAGCAACGCCGCGUGAACGAUGAAGGCCUUCGGGUCAUAAAGUUCUGUUGUAAGGGAAGAACAAGUGCCGCAGGCAAUGGCGGCACCUUGACGGUACCUUGCGAGAAAGCCACGGCUAACUACGUGCCAGCCGCCGCGGUAA